GUUGAGUUGUAUAAGUUGCUUGUAUAUUCUAGACAUUAAGUCCUUGUCAGGUGCAUCAUUUGAAACUAUUUUCUCCCAUUCUGUAAGCUGUCUUUUUGUUUUCUUUUUGGUGAUAAAUACAUUAGCACCCAUUUAAAAAUAAAGGGGAAGAAAUGUUUAUAGCCAAUAAAUAGCACAGACUCCGGUAAUGCCACUCAGCAGUUAUGGCAAUCACCCAAUUUUUAAAACCUAAUCACACAUGAAUGCUGAUCCCUUGGCUACCAGUUUAUUAAAAUUUAUUCCAGAGGGCCAACUUUUUUUUUUUUCCCCCACAAAAGGAUGCUUUACUCAUUGUCAAAUGGUUCUUGGUUAUCGUUACCAGAUAGCUUUUGUAACAUUUCCAUUUUCUAAUACAGGCUGAUAAGACGUUUUGCAGAAAUAAAAAAAAGAAUGAAAAAAAAGUGUUGUUUCCAUUUGUUCUUACAGAAAGGUUAAGUGUUUUUGAUGUUUCUUUUUUUUCCUUAAAGAAAAAAAAAAGCAAACACUAAUUUCCACUUUGUUUCUUUAGGGAAAAGACCAUAGCAAUUAGUUUUCAAGGCAGUAAUUCUCAAGUGCACGUCCCUCCCGGCAGAAGCUUCACACGCAGCAGAACAUGUCUCGUGGGCAGCAGACCUUUCUACACUCUCUGCCAUUCUGCCUUUGCAUCUUUAUGCUUUCUUACUAAUUAAUUUUAUAAAACUGGAAAAACAAACAAAAAACUACAUAAAUCUAUACAAAGAUUUCCUCCAAAAACGUUUCACUGACUUUAAAUCCUUAGGAUCAGUGAUUCCCAAACUUUGGGAUUUCAUGGAGCAGUAGAUGAAAACCAAGGUGGGAGAUUCAACAUGGGGUCAGCAACUAUUUAUUUUUUCAAACAAAUAUAUAAAAAAUAGAAGCAAAGAAAACAAAAUAAAAUAACCCACCAACCCAGAAUCUGCUAGCAAAACUGUUCUAUGAAAUAAUGGCUCUUUUAACAUCAAAAAGAAUGGUUUCACAAAGGCCGUCUCCCAUGACUCAAGUGCAGACACCACAUACUCUCUCCUUCUCUCCUCUUUCAGGCAGACGGUAAAGAGUCACUGACUGGUACUUUGCAACCACUGCUCUGCAAUAGCUCACAGGUGCUGCUAAAACCCAGACUUGCAAAGUUUAACUGUUUCAAAAAUAGCCCUGCUGCUUAUAUAAUGAAGAAUUCUUGUUAAUAUUAGCUGAAUAUUGUGGCUAUGUCUUUGCCUUUCUUUGUCUUAUUAAAUCAGUGAAAAUCUCCAGACAUGCAUGUUUUACAUAAAAUUCAAGAAACACCCUUAUGCCUCAUUCUAUUUAGAAUUCCCAUUUUUACUCAAAUUUGUCCCAGGAAAACAAAUUUAUUGAAAAGCAAGUUCCGACAGGGUAGACGUGAAGCCCUUCUCCCUGGACGGGCUUUUUCUACAUCUACCAGGUGUGGGUCAUCUUCAACCCCAGCCCCCAUGUUGUAAAAUCGGCAGAGCUCAGACUGAAGACUUUAUUACUCGUUUCCUCCCUUGUACAAGUAUUUGAUGGUCCCAAGAGCAUGGGCUUUAGAGCCAGACAGCCAUUACGAAUGCCAGUUCUGCCAUUCCUUACGUCUGUCACACUGGACAGGUGACAGAGCUCUCCGAGUAUCACGUUCCUCUCCAGAAAUGGGAAUGAUAACACUUGCUGUACGGGGUUGUGGUGACAAUUAGAUGAGAGGAUCCAGGAGGUGGUGAAACAGGUCCUGACACAUAGUAAGUACUCAACAGUGUUGGUGGUUAUGACCAGCCCCUGCCAUGUUCCUAGGCAUUGGGAAUCUGCUGUUGAACAAUAAAAUAUCCUUCCCUGAUGAUAUUUACAAUUUAAUGAGAAAGACAAGUAUUAAGUAACCAUGCAAAUUGAAAAAUGUAUCCUGAAACACAAUACUAAAAGGAGGGCAGGUGCCAUCGAAGCCUGUGGUGACUGCAUUUGCCAGUGGGGAUGUCCCCACGACAGACCUUCCCUGAAUUCCGAAGGAUGAGUAGAACUUAACAAUUAGGCACAGGAGAAACAGAGCAGAGCUCCAGGGAGAAGGAAGUGGCCCUCUUUCCUUCAUUUUUCCCCUAUAUUGUACAUGUCAACUAGUGUCUUCAAGAACUGCCUAAUAGUUAGAAUUUACUGCAAUGCACAAAAAAUUCCACUAAUCCCUCUAAAACAAUCAGCAAUGACAUUACACCCUAAACACCAUCCAUUAUCCCUCCUUCAAUGCCAUAUAAGAGCUGAAACAGCAUACUCUUAGCUUGUACCACAGAAAAAUACUUAUUUUCUAAAGUGCACCAAAUAAAACAUUAGAAAGACAUUCAGGACAGAACACUAAAACUCUAUUUUUUUAACUGCCUGCAUUAAGAAAAGAUAGCAAAUAUAUCCCAUAAAAAACUAUUUGGACGAGAUCUGCUUUUAAUCUAUGGCUGAUGAAUCAAUUUUGUUUCGAGUCCAUAUUUUACAGCAAAAUCAUAUUUUGUCCUAUAGCAUGAUGGAACUUGAGAAAUAAAUAUUUUUUGAGACCUAAAUUUCAAAGGACUCAUAAGUAUGUCUGAGGUAGAAAUCCCAGAAUUACUUUCCCAAGCCCUGUGGCUUCCAGUCUGUAGGAAAACAAUUUCCAAUUUGCUUUCUACUUUUCUCCCCUUGUGGCACCUCAGAUCUCAUAGCUAUUGUGCAGCAAGUUAGCCCACACCUGCUCCAAACACCUGACGCUGGUGCUGUCUCCACCUCCUUAUAGGUAACUUCCUUUUCGCCUUCAGUAGCUCUUCUCUACAGUCUAGGGCCUCAACCCUUCCUCAUCACCGGCCUCCAAUUCCUUGGAGCAAGUUUUAAUAAGUGUGUUAAAACUUAAAGUCUCAUUUCUUUUCAAAGUGAUAGAAUACUGGUGUGAAAAGAGAGGCAUAUAAUGCUGUACACCUCCCCAAACAAUUCGUUAUCAUUCCUUUAAAAAUGGAGAUGAAUGCUUCUGCUACCAUGACAGCACCCUCUCGCCCUGCUCUGGGCAGUGCUGGGGCCUAACCUGUCCCCACAGGCAACGUGAUGGUUUUCGUAAAGGAAAGAGGAAGACAGCAAAGUAUAAAUACUGCGUAGUAUCAACGAAUAUGUGGAAUGUAUGUAUUUUAAAGGCGAUUCCAUAGAGACUGAGAAUAGCAUGGUGGUUGUCAGUGGCUGGGGGGAGGGAGCUGGGGAGACGUAGGUCAAAGGGUUUAGUUAUAGAAGAUGCUCUGAGGACCUUCUCGGUCACUACAGCCAAUGAUACAGCACCGUCUACUUGAAAGUGGCUGAGGGGAGGUCUCCAGCAUUCUUGGCACACACACCUACACACACAUACACACAGAGAGUUCACUAUGCGACGUGGUGGUUGUGUUAGUUGCCUUGAUCUUGGUAAUCAUCCCGCCAUGUAUGUGUACAUAAACCAUUGCGUGGUGCCCUUACACCACACACAACUGUAUACACUGCACUGUACACAAUUACAGUUACAUAUAAUUACAUGUAAUUACACAGUUAUGCACAUAAACAAUUACCUUUGUCAAUCAUUCCUCCAAAGAUGGAGAAACUGAAAAACAAAAACUGAAGGAGGAAGACAACAGAAAACCGUCAUGCGGGGUCUCUACCCUUUUCUACAUGGGGGGGAAUUCUUCAUGACGAACAAAAAAACCCACGUGCGUUUUCAGAGUCUAACUUUUUGCUACAUAUGAAGAAAACAUUGGUUUUCUUUCAAACUACCAGGGAAAGAAAGGAAAACAACCAAAUGCUACCUUCUUGAUGGAAACACAUUUUACUAAAUGUUACAGCUUUAAAUUUUUUAGGUCUGUAAGAUCAUGAAUACCAUCAUCCAUACUUUUCCUCAUCAGUGCAAUAAAAAAAAUAUUUACUAAUGACGUCAGAUAACCAAGACGGCAACAACUAAUUCCAGAACCCAAGAUUUUGCUAGCUCAGAUUUUUCUGUAAUUCCUAUAAAUCUCCAGAGAUAGUCUACCUUUUUAUCUUUAACAAAACAAAGUGAACUUGACCAUUAUCUAAUGUCUCUGAUAAGAUUCUAUAAUGACAGAUGAAGCCAAAAAUAAAGAUAGUCUAUAUUUUCUAGGAAAAAAGGCAGCCAUAAUUCUACUUUGUGAAUGGACAACUUAUUUGCUUUCAUCCUU
rnacentral:lncRNA from 1 species